rnacentral:lncRNA from 1 species
UCAAUUGUGUGGAAGCUGGCUGUAGUUCCUGAGGAGUUGAGGGAAAUGUACUUUGGACCUGCAAAGUGGUACUUUUGUAAAAUAUAUAUUUAUAUGGGGUGGGCAGAACACAUGCACAAGCCUGAGUCGCUGAUCUUCCCUGAUGCCUAGGCUCUGAGGAGAUGGACUUGUGGGUCUAGCUUCAAGACAGAUUUUUGUCCCAGCAGCCCAACAAAGCAUCUCUCUCUCUCUCUCUCUCUCUCUCUCUCUCUCUCUCUCUCUCCGUGCCUCGCCCCCAGAUAUAUAUUUUAUUCAAUCCCUUCUUUUUCUCCUUGGCAUUUCAGAAACCAAGGACCGUGACCCAGAAACCACGCUAGUCCCCUCAGAGGUUGAUCCUUUUGCCAGCACCGUUAAGCCUCCUAAGUGCACUUCUGAGCUCCCUGUUGUCAUGAGCAAGCCGACAGGUAAGUGCGCCUCCUCUCGUGGCCUUGCUUGCAGAAAGAUGGCUUUUUAUACAUGCCAAGGGCUGCAAAAAAUACGGGGACAUCGCCCGGGCGAAAGGCUGGGGGUGAUGGGAGCAAGGAUCUUUGGCAGGUAGUCUUCCCUAGUGGUGAUGGCAGGCGAUAGCCGUGCUCCCUAUUUGUGGGUGACCUUGGGCCAGACACUGUCUCUCAGCUUAGCUUAACUCAUAGGGUUGUUGUGAGGAUUAAAGGAAGAGGGGGAGAGUUAUGUACACCACCUUGAACUCCUUGGAGAAAAAGGUGGGGCACAAAUGCAAAU